rnacentral:rRNA from 1 species
CAUGGCUCAGAUUGAACGCUGGCGGCAGGCUAACACAUGCAAGUCGAACGGUAGCAGGAGAAGCUGCUCUUGCUGACGAGUGGCGGACGGGUGAGGUAAUGCUUGGGAAUCUGGCUUAUGGAGGGGGAGUAACUACUGGAAACGGUAAGCUAAUACCGCGUAAUCUCUUCGGAGUAAAGGGUGGGACCUUUUGGCACCUGCCAUAAGAUGAGCCCAAGUGGGAUUAGGUAGUUGGUGAGGUAAUGGCUCACCAAGCCUGCGAUCUCUAGCUGGUCUGAGAGGAUGACCAGCCACACUGGAACUGAGACACGGUCCAGACUCCUACGGGAGGCAGCAGUGGGGAAUAUUGCACAAUGGGGGGAACCCUGAUGCAGCCAUGCCGCGUGAAUGAAGAAGGCCUUCGGGUUGUAAAGUUCUUUCGGUGAUGAGGAAGGCGGUUAGUUUAAUAGACUAAUCGAUUGACGUUAGUCACAGAAGAAGCACCGGCUAACUCCGUGCCAGCCGCGGC